AAACGAAAUGAACAAUAAAAGAGCAAAAAUAAAUGGAAAAUGGGGAUAUUUCAAUUGAAUGGAGUGUGGAGGUGAGUGGGAGAGAAUUGGUUGUGUUUUUGGGUUUUGUUUUUUUUUUUU
rnacentral:ribozyme from 15 species